rnacentral:rRNA from 1 species
GACGAACGCUGGCGGCGUGCUUAACACAUGCAAGUCGAGCGGUAAGGCCCUUUCGGGGGUACACGAGCGGCGAACGGGUGAGUAACACGUGGGUGACCUGCCCUCAGCUCUGGGAUAAGCCUGGGAAACCGGGUCUAAUACUGGAUAUGACUCCAUGAUGCAUGUUGGUGGGGUGGAAAGCCUUGUGCGGCUGGAGGAGUCGGGCCCGCGGCCUAUCAGUCUUGUUGGUGGGGUGAUGGCCUACCAAGGCGACGACGGGUAGCCGGCCUGAGAGGGCGACCGGCCACACUGGGACUGAGACACGGCCCAGACU